UGGCACAGUGGUUAAGGUGCUUGGCUGCUAACCAAAAGGUCGGUGGUUCAAACCCACC
rnacentral:tRNA from 1 species